ensembl:lncRNA
GACUGGAAUUAAAAAUAACUGAGGGCGUGUGAGGACAUUUUCUAAAGGCAGUGUACAGUAAUUCUGAAUAAACAUUUUUUAUAUAUUACAUAAAAUAAAAAUAAGCAAGAAACUGGUAUUUUAGCAGAUAGUUUAAUGUAUAUAAGUACUUCCCAUUGUGUCAUUGGCUUGUAUUUUUGUAUAAAUGUAUCCACAUGAAAACCACGCCCAUUUUUCACGAAACGAAACUUCUGCGAUAGAUCCCCUAGCUCUUCCUCAGCAGAUACUUUUAUGGUUUGUGGAGCAUACGAACGUGAUCAAAUCUGAGUGAGAGACUGACUGAGGAUCAAAUACACGAUGACAUGCCACGGUGACAUAUGUGUCUUCUUCUGUGAAAACGCACACCUGCACUAGACAUUACCGAAGAAUGAAGUGUCCUCAGUGCAGUUAUGUGUCUUUGGAAAAGGCACCAAACUUCUGCAGUCGGUGUGGCUGUAAGCUGUCAUGUCAAUCAAUUGAGACAACAGCAGACAAGCCACAAGACAAGUUUCAAACAUCCUCAAACAUUCCACACAGUACUGAUGCAGAAAUGACUGAUAUCAGAUGUGAAUCAGAAGCAUUGGACUACCAGAAUGCCAAUCUAUCUCCAAAACGACAAAAUGAAGAUAAAAUCCCUAUCCCAAAGAAAAAGGUGCUGGACAUGAAAAUUAAUUAUAACAAUGAAAUAGUCCUGGAUUUUUAUUAUAUUUAUAUAUAUAUAUAUAUAUAUUUCACAUAAAAAAAAAUUAUAUAUAUAUUUUUAUGUGUAAUACUUAUUUUGAAAUUCUGUUGUAAUUUAUAAUGCAAAUUUUUUUUCUCAUCGUGCUUAUACAGAAAAGAAAGAAGAAGAAAAAAGCAGGUGGUGCAGAGGGCCCUUCAUCUCUGACCUCAGAUCUCUCUGAUAUAUCGCUGACUGAAAAAGAAAAGAAAAUGGAGGAAGACCAAUCUUCUGACAGUGAUGGCUCUUACUGCACUGUAGAUGACAUGCCUAAACUGGCUGAAUCAUCCUCUCAUCUGAGCCUACCAGAAACUGAAACUGCUGAGCUAAAACAGCAUGCUGUCUCGGCUUUACCCAUAGAUGCUGCUUUAAGUCAGUCUGAUGAGCAGCCUAAUAGUAGCAAAGAGAGAUGUGUAGCACCUGAAACGACAGAAACAUCUAAGUUGCAGUUGACCCAAGAGCUGAUCAGCAUUAGCACUGACAAAGCUUCUCCAGCAGUGACCAUGGAAGUAAAUCAGAAAGAUGAAGAAGAUAAAGAAAAAUCUGAAAAUAAAGGACAAAAGAGUGUGUCUAAAAGAAAACAAACUACUCUAGAUCGAGAUGGUGAUAUGGACCGGAAUGCAAACAUAAAGAGCAGCACAGGAAAUCAAAGAGAGACCGAUGAUCAUGUUGUGGGAGCACUGAACAACCACAGCUCCAGUGGAGAUUUACCAGUGAAGGUUGAGCAGAGUCAGAAGCUGCAGUCUGCAUGUACCGGCCAGAAGAAUACAGCAUCUGAAAAACAAAAUAAAAGUGAGGAAGCAGAAACCAGUGAAGGCAAACAGCAUGUCUCAUUUCCUACAACAAAAAAAAAUCAAAAUCAGAAACCGCAGAAUUCAACACAGGACAUGGUGUUUGGCCCACAGAAUAAACCUAAGAAGAAUCACGAUUCCAGUGGCGAUUCUUCAGUGAAGGUUGAACACAGUCAGAAGCCGCAGUCUGCUUGUACAGGCCAGAAGAAUACAGCAUCUGAGAAACAAAAUAAAAGUGAGGAAGCAGAAACCAGUGAAGGCAAACAGCAUGUCUCAUUUCCUAAAACAAAAAAGUAAGCAAAUGUUUUUAUGUAUUUUCAUAAAUGUUUCUUGUUUUUUUAAACCAGAUUUCUUAUGUAAUUUUAAUUGAAAUGUCAAUACAUACUUUAACUUCACAGAAAUCAGAAUCAGGAACCACAGAAUUCAUCACAAGACACGGUGUUAGGCCCACAGAAUAAAUCUAAGGUAAACCAAAAUUAAAUAUAUAUU